GUGAGGAAUAUUGCUCAAUGGGCGCAAGCCUGAAGCAGCGACGCCGCGUGGGUGAAGAAGGAUUUCGGUCUGUAAAGCCCUUUUCUGCGUGACGAGAGUGGACGGUAGCGCAGGAAUAAGUCUCGGCUAACUACGUGCCAGCAGCCGCGGUAAAACGUAGGAGGCAAGCGUUAUCCGGAGUUACUGGGCGUAAAGCGCGUGUAGGCGGUUCAGUAAGUUACCUAUGAAAGCUCUUGGCUAAACUGGGAGAGGUUAGGUGAUACUGCUGGACUAGAGUGAAGAAGAGGAAGGUAGAAUUCCGCGUGUAGUGGUGAAAUGCGUAGAUAUGCGGAGGAAUACCAGUGGCGAAGGCGACCUUCUGGUCUUCAACUGACGCUCAGACGCGAAAGCAUGGGUAGCGAACGGGAUUAGAAACCCUAGUAGUCC
rnacentral:rRNA from 1 species